rnacentral:lncRNA from 1 species
CUCAAAGUCUCAUCGAAUUUUUCACUUUAUGAGUCCAAUAUUCUUCGCUUGAUUGUUACACCACCCCUUGGUUUGAGUGUUGGUGUUUGUUGGACUAUUUUGUUUAGAAAAGUAAAUAAUAAUAAUAAUAAUAAUAAUAAUAAUAAUAAUAAUAAUAAUAAUAGUAAUAAUAAUAAUAAUAAUAAUAAUAAUAAUCAUGAUGAUGAUGAUGACAAACAAUAAUGUAUUUGCAUACUAUCCUAUAUCGUUGAUGACGUCAUUCAACUAUUAACAUCGUUGUUUCAUGUAGAAUAUUCACCCUGCACUCACCUUUAUUUUGCUCAGAAACCAAUGCAAUGAACAUGUGGAUGUCCUCUUUUCUGAAAUUUGACCACAUAAAAAUAAGCAGCAACCACCCAAAACAACGAGUCUUUUACAAUUUCCUUUUUCAAGUACUCAAUUUUUGCUUUGAAAACUCUUGCAUGCUAAUCAACUCUACUAUGCCUGUUUUCAAUAGGUAAUGAUCAACUUUGAAUUUCCACUCACUUUGGAUUACAAGUCAUUGUGAGAAAAAUACCUCGGAGUCCAUAUUUCGCAACAAGUGCUAGCACAUUCAUGUAACGGCAACCUAGAUCAUGCAGCCCAUCUAUGAGAUUGGAACACCCACCAGUGUCAACACAACAGCAACAACACACAUCUUUCUUUUUAUCACUGUCUUAUUUGAAAAUUACAAACCACAGUUAAUAAAAAUAUUAAUAGCAACACCACUCACUAAACAAUCUCACAUAAUGAUAAAUUGAAUUGUGCAAAUCUAUACACACAACAAAUAUAAUUAUGAACAUCUCAUGCUUCUCGGCCAAGUAGUCAGAGCAGGUGAACACUCACGGCCGAAAAUAUUUGGCAUAGCCAUAACAGAUGGAUGAGGUAAACUAAAACGUAAACGUUUUGAAGUUGUCACAUGGCCGUGUAUGACAUUUGAAUAGAGAUUUAAUAUUAAAUUCACACCAAAACAAAUAUAACCAACAAAGAAUUGAGAAAUACAUGGCAGGUGUGAUAACACAGCUCACAACAUGCAUUAUAGAAGAAUUAAAAUUACCAUGCACCAUACUUUAAAGCAAAAACAUAGAACCAAUAAACUAAAGGUAAGUGUGCAACCGAUACAAAUGAGCCCCCAAAAAAGAAAAAACAAAGAAAGCUCAUCAGUAACCUUCUUUGAAAGCACACAUCUUCUUUUUGCCACAACAAGAUAUCUAAAAAACGUGACCAAAGUCACGAAUGAGAAUUCAGUAAUUUAGUCGGUGAUAUAACAAAAUGUGAAAAUAAAAUAAAGCACAAAAAUACUAUUUUGAACAAAGUAGGGUAGUGAAUCACCAAAGGUGCAAUAAACAGAUGAAAAGUGUUACAGCAAAUAAAUUCGAUAUGAGCAAAGACAAGCGGACCGUGAGGGCACCCGUCGAAAACCAGAAACCGAAAAUAACAAUCUUUGUAUAACACAAAGUAACAAAUCCUUAAAAAACCUAAAGGCUAGAGGCAAUAACCCAAGUCCUAAUCCUAGAGUAACAAAUCCGAUCUAGUGAAAAAUACAAGACAAUUUACUCACAAUCAACAUCAAAAGGUAAAAGAUUUUGCCGAGAACUCAAACAAUAACAUUAAUCAAAUACUAUAACAGUUCCUAUUGCUAAUAUGGAGCAAUAAGGCUACAACAUUUGUUAGCCAAGCAAAACUUGGCCAUUUUAAGAAGCACCGCCUGGCAAAUGAAAACAAAAUGAUUGUUAAAGAGACAAAAAAACAUUAUUUGAGCAUAUAAGCAAUAAAUUCUUACAAGUUUUAAAGAGAUCUAAAAUGAAGAAAACAAGUGAAAUCAUAACUUGUUUGUUGUAGGAUUGGAAUACUUAAACCAAUUUCACCUACAAUAUCAUACCUCUUUGACUUCUUCGGAGUUUUAUAUGAAAAUUACCAACCACAAUAAAUGAAUAAAUUAAAAGAAUAACAAACCCACAUAAUGUUAAAAGAUUACCGAAUCUCAGAGGUGGAUCAAUAAAUUGUAUCAAGAACUCACAUUAGCAUCCACAAAACCUCUAUGUUAAAUUAAAUUGUGCAAAUUUAAACUUAACUUGACCAACAUAAAUAAAUUUGAACCUAUCAAAUGCCUCGACUGUCACGACCGGCCUUAAAUAAGGAUAACUAAUCCAGGAAAUCGUGACUAGGGAAGGGAUUUGAGAAGCGGAGUUAAAAGGGCACAUUUGACUCAUUCAUAACUCGAUUAUAGACAUUGAUAUCUAGCAUUAAUUCUUGAAAUAAAAUUUAAGACAUUGAAGGAUUGACGCAUAUAAUUAAAAAGGAUACUCGAUGAACCCGAGUAAGUGUUAGAUAUUUCUUGAAGAGUAAUUGGCAUAGUUAUAGACUUGACUAAAACAUAAUCAGUGUUUGCAGCGGAAGACAUAACUGAGAUACAUGUAUGCAGACAUAUAUCCUUUCUGAGCCUAAUUUAAGUUCGACAAAAGCUCCACUCAGCAACACUUCAUCGUCCAUCACAGCUCAACCUGCACACUCAUAAACAUAUGUAGGGCUAAGUACAAAAGUACUUAGUGGGCAAUUGCCAAAACUAAAAUAUAAGCUUAACAUUUUAUUAACGAACCACAACAUCAUAUAAGACACAUGAGUUUCCCUUUAUUUAUUUUUUUUCAAUUCCUUUGCGUACUACACAUUUCCAAAUACAUAAAUAACGUGAGUGCAUUCUUCAUCAUCAAAAGUCAUAUCAAUAAGCAUCGUGUCAUGAGAAAGUCCUUCCUCAACGAACACAGGCAUCGCGCCGUGAGGGAGGCCUCCCUCAACGGACACGGCAUCGUACUGUUGAGGGAGGCCUCCCCCAACAGACGCUAGCAUCGUACCGUUGAGGGAGGCCUCCCUCAACGGACGUUUGACCGGCCAACCCUCUCAUUGACUCACGGUCGCGUUGUGUACAUAAAUUCUAGCAGGAGAGCUAUCCGCUCAGGAUUCAAAGUCAUAAACAUCAUUACAUAGGCAUCAAUAACAAACAUAAUGCAUUCAAGUAUAACAAAGCAUAAAUAACUUAAGCGUAUCAACUCGUAACUCAUUAAAGCGCAAAUCACUUAAGCAUAAUAAAGCGUACAUCACUUUAGCGUAACAAAGCGUAAAUUAAUAAAGCGUAAAGUAUUUAGGCGCAAAUAAGCAUAAGUAGCAAAGUGUAAAUUAUUUAAGCGUAAUAAAGCAUAAAUCAUUUAAAAAUCUAAUUCGCAUUUUUGAAGCAUAAAAACUUUGAUAGUUCUCCAAUAGUAUUUUAUUUUGCGCGUAAGAAAUGCCCACCUGAUAACAAAGAUUUGUUAAGGCGCUGUGAUUCCUUGUGUAGCUCUCACUCUCGCGCUUGACCUUUAUUACGAGAAUAUAAAAUGAGACAUUGACUCGAGAGAAAUUCUCAAUUAAUGAGAAUGCGUAAUUUAACUAUGCAUGACUCUUAUUCAAGUAAUUAUUAUUCAGAAAUAAAAAUCCCAAAAUUUCUAUCUUUAAUCCAGGCUAUAGGAUAUAGGAUUUAGGAUUUAGGGCUCUACCGUAAUAUUGGAUUAAUAACCUUAAUUAAUCCCUUAUUAGAAGCAAUUGAGUCUAAUUGGUCGAUUAAUCUAGACCAGUCCUCAAUCGGGCUUAAAUAAAAUAAUAAAUAAGGAGGCUGAAGUAUAAUAACUCCAGGGCCCAAGCAUUAAAAUAUCUCUAGCCCAUUCUUUAUAAAGUCGGCCCAACUGAAAAUGAAUAGGGAGGAGCCCAUGGAUCCAGUCCACUUAAAAGGAAUAAAUUCAGCCUAUUCUUUAAUAAACUCUCAGCCUAAUUAUCGACCCAUCAAGAAAAUAAAGAGCAGCCCAAUUCGUCCUCCUCAAGCACGCUGUCUCCAUUUUUCCUCUCAAUUCUCAAAUCUGAAAACUCACAUUUCUCUCUCUCGAUCCGCUCCAAUUAGCGCCACCGCCGUGGCUGAAUCCGGCGAGCUGCGCCGCCUUCUUCUCCUCGUCUAUUCAUCUCUCUCCCUUCACCCUUUUCAAUUUCUCACUCCAAGUUACACGCUCAAUUUCAAGGAUUGAGCCCUAGUUCUUUCCUUCAAAUCGCCUCCGAGUCUCUCCUUUACAGCAGAUACGCCGCCGAGGUUCUCUUUCCGGUGAAGCCGGCAUCAAGUCAUUGGAGUACCGGCGAGGCCGCGGCCGGCCACUGGCGCUGCUCCCUUCGUCUGCUCACCUCUCCUCCCUCAUCCUUCUCGAUUGAGGCAAAAGGGCAGAGCAGUCCGCCGCUGCCUUCUUAUAAAUCCGGCGAGCGGCUGCGUCCUUCUCUCCGGCGCAGGUCGACGCCUUCGCGUCGGAGCUCCUCUCCUCCCGCCGCUCUGUUUCUCGCCAGGUGCCCCAACCGAGCUCCAUUUUUGUCAUAAACUACCGCUCCUGCUGUCUGUGAGUCGGCGAGGCCGCCGCAUCGUAGCCCCUCUCUGGUUUGGUCCGGCGAGCAGCAAGCACGCAGGUCCGUCUCCGCUACAUGCCUUCGAGAGUUAGCGUCGGCUCUCGAUUCUUUAUGAAGCAUCGUCGUGCACGUCCUCCAGAUAUGUCGCGAUCGUCUACGGCUCCGUUACCUCGACAAAGCAGGGCAGUCAUCGCUUCUCAGCCCCACACCUAAACACGAGCCUAGCUCUCCCGGCUUGGUUCCAGACUUGGGUUCUAGAACUUAGUUAAGCAAGGUAAGGUCUUUAUUCUAGUUUUCGUUCCCCAGUUGAAUAGUCUAUUGUGGAGGCAAGAAAUUAAUCUAGGUGUUGAUUGCUUCUGUAUCAUAUGAAUUCUCAUUGCUUGUGGCUCGCGUAAAAAAAAAUAUAGAAUGUAGAUUCUUAUGAAAUAAAAGAUUAUGCCAUUAAUCUCAUACUAUGCAUUUCUAAUAACUGAACAUGUGUCUUGUUGGGGUGUGAAGCAUAUGACAUCAAGAGAGCAACUGAGAUAGGAAUUACCUGUGAUUGCUUUGUGUUUGGGUGGUUGUUGAAGCUUUUGAGUUUAAUGAGAAAAUGGCUGAAAAAGAGUCACAUAUCUUGUUUUUCUUUAACAAUGCAGGGAGAACUAAGAAGAAAGAAAAAAAAAAAAAAGGAUAAGGCUAAAGCCAAUCUUACCUCUUCGAAGUUUUGCAGCAGCUAGACAACUCUCUCAAGCUCUUGAUGCUUAAGGAAAUAAGGACGACUGUUGGUUGAAUAUAAAGAGUAGAGUUGUUGUAGUUAUUGAGUUUGAAAUGAAAGUGAGUGGCUGAUUGACCUGCUACUAUACCAGGGGAUGGCCUUGGCUCAGAAGGGAUGGCCUUGGCUAAAAAGGGUGGCUGCAAAGUAGGGGAAUAGCUUGUAGUUGUACUUGAACUAAUCUCCUUGCUUUUGUGUAUAGUUAGUGGUGAAAGAAUGAUGAUUGUAAAUAUGGUUCUUAUGUGAUGAUACAUAAUUAAAAUCCUCCACUAUUGAUUAAUCGCGUAUUGGCAUGUAAAACUAGCUUUCGUGUUUUGCUAAUAUUAUUCGCAUAGAAUCUCCAUAAGUUAAAUAUCCAAUUUAACUCGUUUCAUAAGUCGAAAUUAAAUCACGACUUCAAGUAAAAUUAAUAAUAUAUAUGUUGCAUAUAAAGUAAUAACAUGACUUUGCUAAGUCAGUUAUUAAUCAAAAGAGCACAAUUAUUAACUUGCUCUAUAAUUGGUUCACAGUAUCUCACUCGAAGCUAAAAGGCAUAAAAAAAAAAUCAUGGUUGGAAGGCGUAACACAUAAUAAUUGUAUUUACUGGCUUUAAUCUAUAACCAAAAUGGGUGGGUUGCUACAUACUACCCCCUUAACAAAAAUUUCGUCCCGAAAUUUGCAUACUCUUAGAUCCUUAGGCUAGUCAUUUCGUUCCUUGGCUUCUACACUUCUUGAUCACAAAUGGCUUCUGGUUUCUCGGGAUAAAUAGGAUGUUUUCAAUCCUUAGGUUAGAGCGAAUAUGAAUGGUAACCCUAAGUUGUGUGAUUAUCACCAUAUCGCACUUAGCUCUCUCGAAAUGAAGCUGAUCAUUACCAUGCAUGGUGUGGUAGCAAUGAUAGGUAAGGCAUCUCUACUAAACAUGAUAGUGAUAAGUAUUCUCAUAAACUGAUCAUACCUGCCAAGUGUCCUUGGUUAAAAGCAUAAGUCGCCCCUUGUUGUGGUGACUGUUGUCCAUGAGGCUGAGUUUGAAGGUGUCCGUGUAUUGCUUGUAAGGGAUGGGUGUGGGUGGGCUUAGUUGUUGAACCUUGUUGUCUGUUGGGACACUGUGUGGAGUAGUGACCCUUUUGGCCACAAUUGUAACACUCGUUAGUUCCAGCUCGACAGAUACCCCUAUGCAUCUUACCGCAAUUGGGGCAAGGUGAAAUUCGUUGCUGACCUUGAUUACCCCUAGUUGGGUCGAGAUUAGUCUGUGCCUCAUGCCUUUGUUGAUUAAACUGUUCGGCCUGUUCAUUUUCUUGCCACACUCUCUUGUUGGCUUGACUGAUAUUGUCUUCGUCGUUGUCCCAUUUGCGCUUCCCUUUGAGAGUAUGUGAGGGUGCUGGUGGGUUAUUUGGCGUCAAGAUCAGUGGUGGAACUGACUUAUCCGAGGGCAUUGCAGCUUCAAUGUCAAGUGCCCUGUUCAAAGACUCCGUGUAUGAGAGCCCUCCGUGGCUUGCUAGCGCCAUCCUAAUUUCGUGCCUUAGACCGGCACAAAAUUUUUCUGCCAUUUUCUCAUCUGUGUCCACUUGUUGUGGAGCAAACCUAGAUAGGUUGCAGAAUUCCCUGUCAUAGUCAAUCACAGAUUUCUUUCCUUGCUUCAAAUCGUAGAACUCGGCCUCUUUCUUCUUCCUAUAGCUUUUUGGAAUGUAUUUAUCAUAUAAUCCCGCCUUAAAAUCUUCCCAAGUAUAAAGUGCCCAUUGUUCAGGGGUCAGAGUUUUUCGGCGUGCCUCCCACCAGAAGUCAGCUGGUCCUGUCAGCUGGAAUGAGACGCAAGAGAGGCGUUCCUCAUCAGUACAACGUAGGAAGUUGAAGAUGCGCUCCAUUGCACGCACCCAAAUUUCAGCUUCAGCUGGCUCACUCGUUCCACCAAACGUAGGUGGGUUCUGUCUUAAAAAGAGUUCCUCGACUCUCCUAGUUGGGGGUGGAGGGGGUGGGUUAUGUUCUUGGUCAUUUUGUGGUUCUUCUGGUAUGGCAUUAUGGUUUCUGCGAUUGUUAUUGUUUCUCAUAGGGCGACCUCACUUAGGCGGCAUUCUGAUAACAAGGAUUUGUCAAUUAAUACACUCUAGCAUAAUAUAAUACAAACUUAAAAAAAAAACCCUUGUAAAGGUUAACUUGUAAACAAGUCAUGACUCCAAUGACAACAUUGAUGUAGUAAGCUUUAAGGGUCCUUAGCAUCCCAAACCCAUGAGUCAUAAAAAAAUUAAGCAUAUAAUAUCAUAGCAUCUCAAUUUGAUACUUAGGCAUAAGUCAUGGAUAUUUAUAGUGGCUAGAAAUCACGAGCUUAUAAAAUUUCUAUACAUAUCUCUUGUCUUACUACCUUCACUUCAGUCACCAAAAGAUAUAGUUGAAUUUCUUCUACGUUUUCUUCUAUGUUCUGUCGUAGAGGUGAUCACAUAACUUAAUAGCUCUAUGUUCAUGGGGAUUCAUACCAUAGUCAUACUUAAUCGUGCUUGCGUAAGUCAUUUCAUUCAAUAACAAUAUAACUUAACUAUUGACUGUUACACACUUUGAUAGUACGUUAAUUCCCACUUUUCGUAUCAAAUCUUGAUAAACAUCAACUCAAAACUUGGAAAAGCUUACCAUUCUGCUUCGUUGAGUGUGAUGCGAUGAAGUGUUGAGCUUUGUCGAUUGAACUCUAGACACUCUAGUGAUCCAGUCUAUGUUUGACUAAAAUAAACUCUUAGACUCAGAGCAAAACGAACUGCUCUGAUACCAUUCUGUCACGACCGGCCUUAAUUAAGGAUAAUUAAUCCGGGAAAUCGUGACUAGGGAAGGGAUUUAAGAAGCGGGGUUUAGAAAGGGCACAUUUGACUCAUUCAUAACUCGAUUAUAGACAUUAAUAUCUAGCAUUAAUUCUUGAAAUAAAAUUUAAGACAUUGAAGCAUUGACGCAUAUAAUUAAAAAAAAAUACUCGAUGAACCCGAGUAAGCAUUAAAUAUUUCUUGAAGAGUAAUUGGCAUAUAGUUAUAGACUUGACUAAAUCAUAAUCAGUGUUUGCAGCGGAAGGCAAGACUGAGAUACAUGUAUGCAGACACAUAUCCUUUCUGAGCCUAUUCUAAGUUCGACAAAAGCUCCACUCAGCAACACUUCAUCGUUCAUCACAGCUCAACCUGCACAUUCAUAAACAUAUGCAGGGCUAAGUACAAAAGUACUUAGUGGGCAGUUGCCAAAAACUAAAUUAUAAGCUUAACAUUUUAUCAUCAACCACAGCAUCAUAUAAGCGACAUGAAUCUUCUUUCAAGUUCUUUGCAUACUAUCAUUUUCAAAUUCAUAAAUAGCGUAAGUGCAUUCCUCAUCAUCAAAAGUCAUAUCAAUAAGCAUCGUGUCGUGAGGAAGAUCCUCAACGAACACAGGCAUCGCGCCGUGAGGGAGGCCUCCCUCAGCGGACACGGCAUCGUACUGUUGAGGGAGGCCUCCCCCAACAGACGCUAGCAUCGUACCGUUGAGGGAGGCCACCCUCAACGGACGUUUGACCGGCCAACCCUCUCAUUGACUCACAGUCGCGUUGCAUAUAUAUAUAUCCUGGCAAGAUAGAUAUCCGCUCAGGAAUCGAAUUCGUUAACAUCAUCACAUAAGCAUUAGAUAAUAACCAUAAAGCAUUAAAGCGUAACUCACAUAGGUGUUAAAUAAUAAGCGUAAAGCAUUAAAGCGUAACAAAGCGUGAACCACGUAGGCGCGUAACAAAGCGUAACUCCCUUAAGCGUAAAUCACUUAAAAGCGUAACAAAGCAUAAAUAAUAAAUUAUAAAACUUUAAGCCGCGUAAAUAGCAUAGCGUAAAUUAUUAAAGCGUGACAAGCGUAGAUAAUAAAGAGAAAUAAAGUUUUAACUCAUUUAAGCAUAAUAAAGCAUAACUCAUUUGAAAAUCUAAUUUUGCAUUUUAAAGCAUGAAAGUUGCAUAGUUCUUCAAUAGCAUUUUUAUUUUACGCAUAAGAAAUGCCCACCUGAUAGCAAAGAUUUGCUAAGGCGCUGUGAUUCCUUGAGUAGCUCUCACUCUCACGCUUGACCUUUAUUACGCGAAUAUAAAAUAAGAUAUUGACUCGAGGAAAAUUCUCAAUUAAUGAGAAUGCAUAAUUUAACAAUACAUGACUCUUAUUCCGGUAGUUAUUAUUCUGAGAUAAUAAAUCGAAGAAAAUUCUAACAAUAAUCCAGGCUAUAGGAUAUAGGAUUUAGGAUUUAGGGCUCUACCGUAAUAUUGGAUUAAUAACCUUAAUUAAAUCCCUUAUUAGAAGCAAUUGAGUCUAAUUGGUCGAUUAAUCUAGACCAGUCCUCAAUCGGGCUUAAAUAAAAUAAUAAAUAAGGAGGCUGAAGUAUANNNNNNNNNNNNNNNNNNNNNNNNNNNNNNNNNNNNNNNNNNNNNNNNNNNNNNNNNNNNNNNNNNNNNNNNNNNNNNNNNNNNNNNNNNNNNNNNNNNNNNNNNNNNNNNNNNNNNNNNNNNNNNNNNNNNNNNNNNNNNNNNNNNNNNNNNNNNNNNNNNNNNNNNNNNNNNNNNNNNNNNNNNNNNNNNNNNNNNNNNNNNNNNNNNNNNNNNNNNNNNNNNNNNNNNNNNNNNNNNNNNNNNNNNNNNNNNNNNNNNNNNNNNNNNNNNNNNNNNNNNNNNNNNNNNNNNNNNNNNNNNNNNNNNNNNNNNNNNNNNNNNNNNNNNNNNNNNNNNNNNNNNNNNNNNNNNNNNNNNNNNNNNNNNNNNNNNNNNNNNNNNNNNNNNNNNNNNNNNNNNNNNNNNNNNNNNNNNNNNNNNNNNNNNNNNNNNNNNNNNNNNNNNNNNNNNNNNNNNNNNNNNNNNNNNNNNNNNNNNNNNNNNNNNNNNNNNNNNNNNNNNNNNNNNNNNNNNNNNNNNNNNNNNNNNNNNNNNNNNNNNNNNNNNNNNNNNNNNNNNNNNNNNNNNUGGUUGUUGAAGCUUUUGAGUUUAAUGAGAAAAUGGCUGAAAAAGAGUCACAUAUCUUGUUUUUCUUUAACAAUGCAGGGAGAACUAAGAAAAAAAAAAAAAAAAAAAAAAAGGAAUAAGGCUAAAGCCAAUCUUACCUCUUCGAAGUUUUGCAGCAGCUAGACAACUCUCUCAAGCUCUUGAUGCUUAAGGAAAUAAGGACGACUGUUGGUUGAAUAUAAAGAGUAGAGUUGUUGUAGUUAUUGAGUUUGAAAUGAAAGUGAGUGGCUGAUUGACCUGCUACUAUACCAGGGGAUGGCCUUGGCUCAGAAGGGAUGGCCUUGGCUAAAAAGGGUGGCUGCAGAGUAGGGGAAUAGCUUGUAGUUGUACUUGAACUAAUCUCCUUGCUUUUGUGUAUAGUUAGUGGUGAAAGAAUGAUGAUUGUAAAUAUGGUUCUUAUGUGAUGAUACAUAAUUAAAAUCCUCCACUAUUGAUUAAUCGCGUAUUGGCAUGUAAAACUAGCUUUCGUGUUUUGCUAAUAUUAUUCGCAUAGAAUCUCCAUAAGUUAAAUAUCCAAUUUAACUCGUUUCAUAAGUCGAAAUUAAAUCACGACUUCAAGUAAAAUUAAUAAUAUAUAUGUUGCAUAUAAAGUAAUAACAUGACUUUGCUAAGUCAGUUAUUAAUCAAAAGAGCACAAUUAUUAACUUGCUCUAUAAUUGGUUCACAGUAUCUCACUCGAAGCUAAAAGGCAUAAAAAAAAAAUCAUGGUUGGAAGGCGUAACACAUAAUAAUUGUAUUUACUGGCUUUAAUCUAUAAUCAAAAUGGGUGGGUUGCUACAUCCGAGUAAGAAAACCAAGCGAACACAACCUAAAAAUAAUUGGCAACACAAAUAGAGGUGACAAACUAAGUUUGAGCCUCUUGCCACCAUUCAAGUCUAAAACAAAGACACGGAAAAAAUAAAUUAACAGUAAGAAAGCGUAAAAAAUAUAUAAAGAAAACUCGAGAGUAAGUAACCUUUAGUUGAAAGUACACAUCCUCUUUUAUCCUUAACAAAAGAUCUAAAAACUGAGACCGAACUCAGACACAAGAGGUCACUCGAUGUCUCGAUCAAAUAAUAAAAAAUGUAACAAAAUAAAACACAAAAAAGAAUACUAUUAUAAGAACAAAUUAAGAUAUUGACUCCCACUGUUGCAAUAAACUAAGAACCUCGAUGGGAGCACAAGCAAGCAAACCGAGAGAGCAUCAAUUGAAACUAAUCAGAAACCAAAGAUAACAAUCUUCCAGUAACAUAAAGUAAUGAAACCUUAAAAAUCCAAAAAGGCUAGAGGUAGAAAACCAAGAUGGGUCUAAUCCUAGAGUAAUGAACCCGUCCCCUAAACCUAUAAAUGAGAACUAUAACUAAACGACCAUGCACAUCUAACGACAAUGAGUGGAGCAUGGAAGGCCCGGAUGGCACGACCAACUUUCGCGGCUUACGAUUGUCAGGAACCUCUGCGCGGAGCAUGGAGGGCCCAGGCGGCACAACCAACUUUCGCGGCUUACGAUUGUCAGGACCCUCUGCGCGGAGCAUGGAGGGCCCGGAUGGCGCAACCAACUUUCGCGGCUUACGAUAGCAUCCCUCUGCGCUGGUGACAGCAUGAUCCCUCUGCGUUGGUAAAGUUAUUGUUCAAAUAUUAAAAUUUUAUCUAAACUAACAAACUAAAUAAUUUGUUAAAAUACGGCACACAUGACAAAAAUACUACAUUAAAAUCAAAAUGGUCAGAUGACGACUACUUCUUAGAUUCUUAUUAUUAGCUUACCUCAGAUCAAAUAGAAAGAACGCGAAACACUAGCGCAACAGGGUCAGUUUUUAUCAACCUAUAAACAUCAUUACACGACAAAGAAAAGGAUGUCAAGUAUUUAUCAAAAAAUACUACUUAAUAAUGUAUCAAAAAAUGCUACUUAAUAAUAUGAACCCCAACUCAAAUGCAAGGUAGUGCUCACUACUCCCGUGGAAGAAUAUGCAACUUUUGUAGAAGUGGAUGUCACUUAAUGAGCACGUGUCUAAUAAACAAUUUAAAAUUAAUAGGUCAAACGCAAUAGGUAGCUAUGUAUUCCCCAGUUAUAUUCAUAAAUUUGAGCAUUUCAUGUAAUCUCAUUGGAUUUUAGAACAAAUUAAUAAGAAGCUGUGAUUGAAUAAUCUAUAUAUAUAAGAGGAAAUAUUAUAUUAAAGAAGAUUUGUAUAUGCUCAAAACAUAAAGAAGAGAGCAGGGCAAGUAACUCACCCACAUCAGAUAAUUACGAAAACUAAACUAAACUAAACUAAACUAUCCCCAAAAUAUAUAUAAUACUACCAUACAAAAUGGGUGAUGGCUCUCAUUGUGAUUGAAAAGGUAGGAUUUUGAUUUGAGAUGUGGUUUGUUUGAAUAUUUUGGAUGAUAAUUUUGGGCUAUAUAUAUUUAUAGUUAGGUUUAUAUAACCAAAUUUAUGUAGCUCAAAACGACAAGAGAUAAAUGAUUAAUGCCCAAUCCUAAUCAUCAAGCCCAACUAUAUUUCAUGCACUAUAUCAUGAUCCAGAUCAAUUAUCAAUUAAAAAUAGAGAGUCAAAAUCCCUCACAAUAUACUGCCCCUGUUCCUUAGCUCUCUCCAUUUUCUCAUCUCCUCCACUCACACUUUCGAUCAUCUCUCUCUGCACUUCAUGUUCGCAACAGUAAAUAAAUCCGAACCGCUAUUCUUCCCUCUUCUUCUUCCCUUUCUCUUAAUUUCUCGCGAAUAAUCUGAAAAUCAGCUGUCCGACUACACCUCACCGUCGUUCGAAAUCGUCGACCCAUAAUCCUCGCCUCGACCCGUAAAUCAGCAGUCAAUUGCAGACAACAACCCAAUUAACCCAGCCCCAACUCGCUCUAACUCAGCCAAGACUCGCCGUUCCGGAGCCCCAUCGUCUACCAUCCUUCUCCGAUAACCAGAAGCCAAGAAAGCCACCUCCGAUCAGCACCAUCAACACCAGAAACCUAGCCGCAGCUCACUCAAACUCUGGUCAAGACAUGAUUUUCUGUAAAACAGGGAGCACCCUUUCCUCUUUGAUUUCUCUUUGAUUUCUUAAAAUCAUUCAUUAUAAUUUGAUUUCUCUUUGACUUCUUAAAAUUAUACUCGUUUCAAGCUUUCGUGAUCACUAUAUAGUUCUAGGGUUAAUCAAAAAAAGAAAUCAUAAAAGCAGGUUUACGAAGAUAAGCUCACCUUUGGUUUUGUUGCUGUAAUGGCUUUCUCAAGUGGGUUGAUUUUGAUCUGACUUUGCAGCGAUCAUUUGAAGAAGAUUUGAUUUCUUGGAGUAGAAUUUCAAAAGAGAGAAACCAUAGAAAGUAGAAAGGGAGAAAAAAAAAGCUGAUCUAUCAUCGGCUAUGAGGAGAAAGAGGUGAGAUAAAGUUUCAAAAAUCAACCUCCAAAUAACAGAAAAUUACAAAAAU